rnacentral:rRNA from 1 species
UCAAGCUAAAAAGAGCGCAAGGGGAAUGCCUUGGCAUCAGGAGCCGAUGAAGGACGUGAUAAGCUGCGAUAAGCUUCGGGGAGCUGCAAAUGAGCUACGAUCCGGAGAUUUCCGAAUGGGGAAACCCACCGCAAGGUAUCCUGUACUGAAUCAAAUAGGUACAGGAAGGGAACCGCCUGAACUGAAACAUCUAAGUAGGGCGAGGAAAAGACAUCAACCGAGAUUCCGCGAGUAGUGGCGAGCGAAAGCGGAAGAGGCCAAACCGAAGGUAGCAAUAUCUUCGGGGUUACGGACAGCUUUAAUGAGAAGCGAUUCUUAAAAGAACGGCAUGGGAAGGCCGGCCACAGAGUGUGAGAGCCACGUAUUUGAAAAGGAUCGUAAUCUGGCUGUAUCCAGAGUACCGCGGGACACGAGGAAUCCCGUGGGAAGUCGGGGGGACCACCCUCCAAGCCUAAAUACUACCUGAUGACCGAUAGUGGAGCAGUACCGUGAGGGAAAGGUGAAAAGAACCCCGGGAGGGGAGUGAAACAGUACCUGAAACCUUGUGCUUACAAGCAGACAUAGCCCGUUAAAGGGUGGUGUCGUACUUUUUGUAGAACGGUCCGGCGAGUUAUAGUAACUGGCGAGCUUAAGGUAUUGAGUACCGGAGGCGAAGCGAAAGCGAGUGUUAAGAGCGCGUAUAGAGUCAGUUGCCAUAGACCCGAAACCAGGUGACCUAGCCAUGUCCAGGAUGAAGUGGAGGUAAAGCUCCAUGGAGGUCCGAACCCACGUUCGUUGCAAUGACCGGGGAUGAGGUGUGGCUAGCGGUGAAAUUCCAAACGAACUUGGAGAUAGCUGGUUCUCCCCGAAAUAGUUUUAGGACUAGCGUUGGGUAUGAGUUUAACGGCGGUAAAGCACUGAAUGGGCUAGGGGGCGAUAAGCUUACUGAACCCUAUCAAACUAAGAAUGCCGUAUAAAUGCUUACCAGCAGUCAGACUGCGAGUAAUAAAAUCCGUAGUCAAAAGGGAAACAGCCCAGAUCUACAGCUAAGGUCCCUAAUACAUGCUAAGUGGAAAACGAUGUGAGAUUGCGAAAACAACCAGGAUGUUGGCUUAGAGGCAGCCACUCGUUCAAAGAGUGCGUAAUAGCUCACUGGUCGAGUGAUCUUGCGCGGAAAAUUUAACGGGGCUAAGCAUGUAACCGAAGCUUAGGGUUUACAGCAAUGUAAGCGGUAGGGGAGCGUCGAAUACGGGGUGAAGUCAUACCGAAAGGAAUGGUGGACUGUAUUCGAGUGAGAAUGCCGGAAUGAGUAGCGAGAAUUAUGUGGGAAUCAUAAUGGCCGAAAGUCUAAGGUUUCCUGGGGAAGGUUCGUCCGCCCAGGGUAAGCCGGGAGCUAAGGCGAGGCCGCAAGGCGUAGUCGAUGCACAUACGGUAGAAAUUCCGUAGCCGGCUCAAUCGUUAAGCAUACUGACACAUGAGAGUAGCUCUACCGGGCGCUGGUUGCCCCGGGCGUAAGCGAGCCGAAUGAGGCGAAGUGAGUAUAUCGUAUGGCGAGAAAAGGUGUGUGUAUUGGUUGAGCUGCCCGUACCGCAAACCGACACAGGUAGAUGAGGAGAAGAUCCUAAGGCCAUCGGGAGAAGGGUUGUUAAGGAACUAGGCAAAUUGACCCCGUAACUUCGGGAGAAGGGGUGCCUACGAGAGUAGGCCGCAGAGAAUCGGCCCAAGCAACUGUUUACCAAAAACACAGGUCUCUGCUAAAUCGAAAGAUGACGUAUAGGGGCUGACGCCUGCCCGGUGCUGGAAGGUUAAGAGGAGGACUUAGUGGCAACACGAAGGCCCGAAUUGAAGCCCCAGUAAACGGCGGCCGUAACUAUAACGGUCCUAAGGUAGCGAAAUUCCUUGUCAGGUAAGUUCUGACCCGCACGAAAGGCGUAAUGAUUUGGGCACUGUCUCAACAGCCCGCCCGGCGAAAUUGUAGUA